rnacentral:lncRNA from 1 species
UCUGUAAUCUAACCACCAUUCAUUACUAGUAUAAGUAAAAUUGACUAAAGAGGUUAAUGAUUCACACCUAAUAGAGGGUUCACCAUCCUUCAACAUGUUUACUUGAUCUUUUAAAAUUUAUCUUUGAGCUUGUACUCUUCGUCCUUAUAUAGCAGCAAUCUAGAGCAAAAUGGUUGGUUCUACCACAUAUAUAACAUGGCCUUACUCCUUCCCUUUUCCUUUAUUAUCCUAGUGUAAUUAUUCUUAGGUUGGAUACUUUUUCUAUAACUAUAAAAAAAUUUCUUAAACUUAUUACCUCGAGACUUAAAUUGCUUUGAGAAGCUAAUAGGGUUUUGGAAUUUUUCUUCUAAGUUUGCUUUAGCAUG